AUUGAACGCUGGCGGCACGCUUUACACAUGCAAGUCGAACGGUAACAGGCCGCAAGGUGCUGACGAGUGGCGAACGGGUGAGUAAUGCAUCGGAACGUGCCCAGUCGUGGGGGAUAACGCAGCGAAAGCUGCGCUAAUACCGCAUACGAUCUAUGGAUGAAAGCGGGGGACCGUAAGGCCUCGCGCGAUUGGAGCGGCCGAUGUCAGAUUAGGUAGUUGGUGGGGUAAAGGCUCACCAAGCCGACGAUCUGUAGCUGGUCUGAGAGGACGACCAGCCACACUGGGACUGAGACACGGCCCAGACUCCUACGGGAGGCAGCAGUGGGGAAUUUUGGACAAUGGGGGCAACCCUGAUCCAGCAAUGCCGCGUGCAGGAAGAAGGCCUUCGGGUUGUAAACUGCUUUUGUACGGAACGAAACGGCUCUGGUUAAUACCUGGGGCUAAUAACGGUACCGUAAGAAUAAGCACCGGCUAACUACGUGCCAGCCGCCGCCGUAAUAC
rnacentral:rRNA from 1 species